rnacentral:rRNA from 1 species
GACGAACGCUGGCGGCGUGCUUAACACAUGCAAGUCGAACGGAAAGGCCCUGCUUGCAGGGUACUCGAGUGGCGAACGGGUGAGUAACACGUGGGUGAUCUGCCCUGCACUUCGGGAUAAGCCUGGGAAACUGGGUCUAAUACCGGAUAGGAGCCAUUUUUAGUGUGAUGGUUGGAAAGUUUUUUCGGUGUAGGAUGAGCUCGCGGCCUAUCAGCUUGCUGGUGGGGUAAUGGCCUACCAAGGCGGCGACGGGUAGCCGGCCUGGGAGGGUGGACGGCCACAGUGGGACUGAGAUACGGCCCAGACUCCGACGGGAGGCAGCAGGGGGGAAGAUUGCACAAUGGGCGCAAGCCUGAUGCAGCGACGCCGCGGGGGGGAUGACGGCCUUAGGGUUGUAAACUCCUUUCGCUAGGGACGAAGCUUUUUGUGACGGUACCUAGAGAAGAAGCACCGGCUAACUACGUG